rnacentral:tRNA from 1 species
GACAGUUUAGCUAUUGGUAAAGCAUUCAGCUGGUGUUUUGGGGGAUAUGGGUUCGACUCCCAUGGCUGUUU